CGAGACCAUCCUGGCUAACGUGGUGAAACCCCCGUCUCUACUAAAAAUACAAAAAAAAAAAAAAUUAGCCAGGUGUGGUGGCGGGCUCCUGUAGUUCCAGCUACUCGGAAGACUGAGGCAGGAGAGUGGUGUGAACCCGGGAGACAGAGCUUGCAGUGAGCCGAGAUCGCACCACUGCACUCCAGCCUGGGCGACAGAGCGAGACUCUUGUCUCAAAAAUAAAAAUAAAAAUAAAAAUAAAAAUAAAAUAAAUAAAACCUGCUCUGAACAACUUUGUUCAUAUAGCUUUUCUAAUUUUUAAUUACAGAAUUAGGAUAACCAGAGAUUACGGCUCUUGAUCAUUAUUGCCAAACCUGUAUAUUCUCAGUAAAUCCUUGAGGGGAAAAGUGGGGCAUCCCCAGGGUCGUCGCCUGUGUCCUCUUCCUCCAGCGGCACAGGGUAUUGCAGAUGGGUCACCAGCCCCAUGUUUUCCUUCUUGUAAAACUCGAUGAGCUGGUCCAGCUUGGUGAAGAACCUCAUGGAGACGCCUUCGGAUGCCUGAGGACAGAACAUCCAAACAAACGCACAUGUUAACCAACUAGAAUGUCAGCCAACCACAAAGGCCAACUGCAGCAGAGACCAGCGAGGCGGAGGGAGUGACUGCGAUCCAGGAAAAGCCUUGGGCUCCUACGCAGGGUGUGUGACCCUCAUGCCCACACCUCACAUCCUGCAACCAGCAGCUGCCAAGGGCCCUUCUGCAAAAGGCACACAGAGGAUCGUUCCUAAGAUCUGUUUUUCUUUCCGUUUUUAAAAAACUUUUAUUUUUAAAAGUGUUUUUGGGCCAGGCACGGUGGCUCACACCUGUAAUCCCAGCACUUUGGGAGGCUGAGGCAGGUGGAUCACCUGAGGUCAGGAGUUUGAGACCAGCCUGGCCAACACGAUGAAACCCCAUCUCUGCUAACAAAAAAAAAGAAUACAAAAAUUAGCCGGGCGUGGUGGCAGGUGCCUGUAAUCCCAGCUACUCAGGAGGCUGAGACAGGAGAAUCACUUGAACCUGGGAGGCAGAGGUUGCAGUGAGCCGAG
rnacentral:lncRNA from 10 species